GGAGGCUUCGCCUAGUCCGGUCUAUGGCGCCGCACUGCUAAUGCGGUUUGGGUUUAUCGCCCAUCCCGGGUUCAAAUCCCGGAGCCUCCGCAA
rnacentral:tRNA from 1 species